UAACGAGCGAGACUCUGGCCUACUAAAUAGUUGGCACAUUGCCACUGUGUGCACAACUUCUUAGAGGGAUUUUCGGUGUUCAGCCGCACGAAAUUGAGCAAUAACAGGUCUGUGAUGCCCUUAGAUGUCCGGGGCUGCACGCGCGCUACACUGGCAAAAUCAGCGUGCUUGUCCUCCCCCGAAAGGGGUUGGUAAACCGAUGAAAAUUUGCCGUGAUUGGGAUCGGACAUUGCAAUUAUUGUCCGUGAACGAGGAAUCCCUUGUAAGGGCGAGUCAUCAACUCGUCCUGAAUACGUCCCUGCCCUUUGUACACACCGCCCGUCGCUGCCCGGGACUGAGCCAUUUCGAGAAAACCGGGGAUGGUUGGCCUGACGGCUCUCGGGUCGUCUAGCCGAUGAGAACCGGCUUAAUCGCACUGGUUUGAACCGGGCAAAAGUCGUAACAAGGUAGCUGUAGGUGAACCUGCUGCUGGAUCAUUA
rnacentral:rRNA from 1 species